UACGAAGGGGGCUAGCGUUGCUCGGAAUGACUGGGCGUAAAGGGCGCGUAGGCGGCUUGUAUAGUCGGAUGUGAAAUUCCUGGGCUUAACCUGGGGGCUGCAUACGAGACGUAUGGGCUUGAGUGCGGAAGAGGGUCGUGGAAUUCCCAGUGUAGAGGUGAAAUUCGUAGAUAUUCGCAAGAACACCAGUGGCGAAGGCGGCUCACUGGCCCGUAACUGACGCUGAGGCACGAAGGCGUGGGGAGCAAACAGG
rnacentral:rRNA from 1 species